rnacentral:ribozyme from 11 species
GAAUAUAGACAAAUAUCUGAAUCCACAAAAACAAAAACAAAAAAACCACAAAAUCAAAACUAAGUAAUUUUUCUAGGUCUCUGUUGUUGUCCUAUUGUUAUUGUUGUCACUUACCCUUCUAAAUGACUCACCCUCACAAUUGCAUUCACUUCAUAAGCGGCCAGGGUCGGCAGAUUUGAGAUGGGAGCAGCAUCGAAUAUAGACAAAAA